UGCACCUUGCUGACAGGUGUUGGUGCUGCUGCAGUGAUGUUUGGCAUCAGCCCAACGAGUUGGCUGCAGCAGUGCAGGGACAGUAAGGUUGCUGGGGUAGGUGACACAUUGUGCCCUGCAUGCUGCCGAGUUUGCCAGCUACCCCAAAGCUGUCCAGGGGUCAGCCAGGGGCCUUUGUGACUUGCACAUUCACUUGCCCUCCAUGCUCCUUAUGGGCAGAGUCACCCUGCAAGGGGCAGCAGCUGCUGUGCUGCCUCUUGGGAGCAAUCUCAUUAAGAAUAAUUAACACUGCUAUAGCGCUUCAUCUGUCUAAACGGCCUAAUUGCCGUGCAGCUGCUCAGGGUGUCAGCAAGACAGAAAAGCCCCAGUAGGUCACAACCAGUGUGCCCAAGGGUGUUGCCAGCCCCACCUUUGUGCAUAUGCUGCUGUUUUCAAAGACCGCCAGCAGCUGCUCAGGGAGCUUCCUGCUUCACUGAAGGAAACCCACACGUCUUGCAAGGCCCCUUCCCUUAGGCUGCCAGUUAGAUUUCUUCAAGCUGCUGGAGGGGCAAGCAGGGUUUGCAAGGCUAGCACAGCUCCUUAGUGUGUCGCUGAGGCAAAGGUGACCCAGUCUGGGUUUGAACUGGGAAACCCAAGUUGAACACAGGUUGCUAAACUCAUAGGUAAGUCAGAGUGACAGAGGGCAGCACCAAAGAUCAGAGGCUAGAUUAGAGAAGCUAACUGUCACUGAAGCUUUUCUUCCUUUUCAUCUCGCUGAUACUUGCAUCUUUCUUACAACCUUGACAGAGCUGGAGACACUACUGCCUUGUCAUCAUUGUUUAGAGACUUUUAAUUGAUACUGAACACACUGAUCAAGUUUCCUGCCAUGGGACAAUGAAUCCAAAGGCAGCAGCAAAGGGCCACCAUGGCAAGCACACAUGCACGUGCACUGUCUGCCACUGCAGCUGGACUUUGCAAUGCAGCAGUGCUCUGGCUCAGCCACACACACAACACAAAUGUGAGGACAUGGGCUCCUCAGUGUGACAGCAGUGAAAGGGAGGAAGGCUGGCCGAAGCAUCAAAAUCUCUCUAGAGAUAUGUGUCAUCUCUAUGGAGAGUGCAACACAAAUACUGUGAAUUUCAUACAUGUACAGUAAAUGCUAUUUAUCAUGCACAAUUUAGAAAGUAUUACAACAGUUGGGAAAAUAUUAUGUCUAGCAAGAAAGCUGUUUAAGAAGCUGUUUAGAAAGAAUGCACUAAUUAGAGUAUAUUAAAAGGUUGUAUUUCCAAGAAGCCUACUAAGAAAGGAUUGUUCUUGCUGCAUUUGCUUUUUGCAUUCAAGAGAUCAGACAAAGAAGUUCAGAGCAGGUCAUCACAGUGGCCUGAGCUAGCCACAGAGCUUGAUUCUGAAAUGUAGGGAGGGAGAAGCAUGUUGCCAAGUCAGUCUGGCAACUUCUCCCAGCCAGGUAGCAUCUCUGGAAAAUUUCCAUGCACCAUCCAGGAGAAGUGAGUGGGACCUGUUUCCUGCCAAGUUGCAAAGAUAAUUUUUGAGACUGGAAGUAUCAAGAGCUGGAGCUUGGAGAGAAAUAUCCUCCAGUCUUUCUGUUUAAUGUCCUUCCAGGUGGGGGAAAAAGUAAUCACAGCCCAUCAGAGUUUGCAGAUUCCAGUGGUGCUAGAAGCACCUGGCAAUGAGCCAAGCUUCAGAUCCAAGUGGGUGCUCUGGUUUUGGGUACUGAUGUAGCUGAACGGCAAAGAGAAUCCCAAAACUGUGCCCUCCUGCCACCUGACUUCUGUAAGGUGAGGAGACUUAACAGCACUACAUAACUAAAUGUACACAGAGCAAUUGGGGAAAUAAAGAUCAAAGCCUGCCCCACUUCCCUCCUCUUUGCUGAAAGCAGCUCAGAAUCAGUAGCUGACUGCAAAAAAUACCAGUGCAGGAUUAAUUUCCCUGCAAUUCACCAGUGAGCUGGUGUCGAUGGCAUUGAUAAACUGUUAAUUACGAAAUCAAUAGCUAUGAAUUUUUACAGCUGGUGGAGCACUGAGGUGGAAGGAGGUUGCCCAACUAUGUCCCUGAGGGUCAGCUGGCCUAAAAGUUAGGCUUCAUGUCAGGAGCCCCUCUCCAACACUGCUGACAUGGGGUACAGGGCAGGUGUGAGAUGGACAAGGCUCACUGCCUCCUCACCUAACUCUUUUUCUUGCAGCUUCUGGCUGGAGCAGGAGGAGCCAGGAUGUUGCAGGACCUGUUAGUACAGAAUUUGCUACAUAUCCCCUUGCUAGAUGCAGAUCUUGUUCCCUCCAUCUCAGAAUUUAAAUACAUGGGGAAAAAAAAGGGAAAUAACAUUUGGCCGGUAUGGGAUUUCCUUAAAUGAACAUGUGCUGUAUGCUAACCUGGAGGCUCUUCAAUACACAGGUUGAUCAAUUUGUUUCAUGAAGAAAAAGGACCUUGGAAUGCCUAGGAAGGGACUGCUGGCUCUGAAGGGUAACAGUUUAUAUAGCACCCCUACUCUGUCAAAAAUUGUGUGAUCAUAUUGUUGGGACUUGCCUGCUUGUCUGGGCAUUAACAAUUCAUUUCUCAGCUCUCUAAAAUGCACUUACUAAAGACAGAGGUCAUCUGAAUUAUCUUUGCGUGUCCCAGCAGGUGUGUCCUUGGUGCAUUACACUGAGGACUCGGAGAUCAGCCACAGCUCUGGCAAGGUCAGCCUAUUGUCAGCUUCUCCUCUAGCAAAGAGCAAGUAAGCUCCCACUUCUGUUUUCAUUUGUUUUAAUUCCUAGAAACAAAGGGUCAAUACACACAGGGCUGCAUGGAAGAGAGGAAAGUCCCUAGAAGCAUAAGCAAUUACACCCACCAGGGAUAAGGGAAAUUCAGGAAUUUAUAUAGGAGGCAAGACAGAAAGGAGGUCUAGGCAGCACAGGUGCUAAUGUAAGUGAUCAGCUUUAAACUGUGUCUCUGACCCAAGGGAGCCGAGAGGUAGUCUGCAUUCCAUUCCUACUGUUUUAGGAAUUAGCUGUUUGCAUGCAAGCACAUACAUGCAGGCUCUGCAAGUGUACUCCAUGUCAAAAACAUGGUAAAAAAAUAACUUAUUUUAAAAGAAUGUGAAGGCUGAAUGUGACAGCUACAUUAGAAAAAUACACUUGCUCUAUUCUAGCUCCCUUAUGUGUGUGUUGUGAGAGGCUUUAAUUACGUGAAAAAUGAGAUCUUGUGCUUUACUUUCAUAUGUUUCAAUACAAAUAACAAAGCAGGAACAAAGCAGGAUUUUUGUGGAUUAUACUCCUACACAGAUGCACUAGGAGAAUCCAGUCAAGUCAGAAUGGCUUUUCUCAUCCAGUUGAGAACAUGCAUUGUCCUGUGCCUCCUAACCAUUACCUUGGCUACUUUACUUCCACAGUGCUGGAAGGAGAACCCCAAACCACUUGACAAAUGUUGGUUGUUCUGGUCUGUCAUUGCUUAGUGUUUCUCCACUCCCAAUACAGACUGUCCUUUAAGGUUUACCCUAGGUUUAAUCCUGAAAGCACAGUGAGCAACAUCAGCAGACAGUGCUACUAUUGCACUGUGAAGGACAUGACAGUACCAAGGCUCAGGUUCUGCAGCAUCUCUGCCCUUAGCAUGGGCCAGAUAAAUGCCCUGGUGUGGCACUUACUUACCCUGUCAUCCUGUCACAACCACUACCUUAGCACUUCAGCCUCUCUGAGGAGUCCUUCUCCCUGUUUAAUUCUGUGACCUUCCUGUUAGACAGGAGGCAGAUCCUUUAACAAGAGUUGAUUACAUCACCACAAGCUACCAUCCCACAAAGAGAGGCCAGCCUUGGCCAUCUGCCCAUCCUGGUUCAGUGGCAAAGUGAAGGCAGCAAUUAGAGCUAAAAAAGCAAUAUAUAAGAAACUGAAAAAGGGAACUAGAUAGCAAUUCAUAUGGAUCAGAAUUUAUGAAGUAUAGAAAAUCGAUAAGGGAAGUGAAGGACAUUGGAGGAAAAUCCAUGGCUGGAGGGCUAAGGACAAUAAAGAAGUUUUAUAAAUACUUAAGAAAUAGAAGAAAAAUGACCAUUUGUAGGGUGGCUCCUUUCACCUGGAGAUGAUUAAACCGUUAACAGCAGUGCAAAGGAGACAGAAGUCCUCAGUGAGGAUGUCUGUCCCAUUUAGAAAAAAAGCAGCAUUAUGUAGCAAUGCUAUAUGAAAAUGAUUAAGACUUGUUAGUCUGUCCUAUAUACAAGAAGAUUUAGACAUCUGCUAGGUACAAACUUCACAGAAAUCAGCAGAGCUGGAUAACUUGGCUUGAAGAGUUCUAAACUUGCUGGCUGAGGCCCAGAUAGGGCAGAUUAAUGAUUUACAAGUUUUGGUAUUUUCAAGCAAUUCAAGAUGACUGGAAAAGUUCUAAUGAUGUACAUAUUCUCCUAGGUAUUACCUGAUGAUUUCCAUGCUAGCCUGAUGUGAACCAGGGCAACAUAAAGAAAAAAAAAAAAGACAGACGUUUGAUUAAGACUUAUAAAAUGGCAUUUAAAAGACACAGAGAUGCGGCACGCACUUAGGGACAUGAUUUAGUGGCAGACAUGGCAGUGCUAAGUUAAUGGAUGGACUCAAUGAUCUUAAGGGUCUUUUCCAACUUCAGUGAUUCUAUGAUUCUGAAUGAUUCUGUGAUUCUACUGACAGUCAACACGAUACUUUGGAAUACAGGUCUUGUCAGACAAACACGUUUUCAUUCUCUGAUGAGAUUACAAGUUUGGUUGAUAAAGUUAACUUCAUAGCUGUAAUAGACUUAGGCUUUUAUAAGGCACUUGGCUUAGCACCACAGGGCAUUCUCAUUAAAAAAUUAGCACUAUGCAGUAUCAAUAAAGCACACUUUCAAUUGAUUAGUAACUGGCUAGAUGACAGAUCUCAAAGUAGCUAUCAAUGGUGAAUCAUCCCUGAAGGAGGAGUUUUCUAGUGGAAAUCCACGGGGUCAGUGAAAGAAACAGAUGCCACUCAACAUUUUUAUCAAUUUUUAGUAAGUAAUUUCUUUUUUCUUUUAAAUUGCUGCAGCUAAGAUGUAUGGAUGGCAAAGAGGAUCAGGAUGGUGUAAAACAGUAGGGAUAGGGCAGCCGCACACACUCUGGACCACUUGCUUACACUUGCAGUAAUGUAUCUAUAGCCAAGGAAUGUGUCUAUGGAACUGCAACUUUAUCGAGUCAAGCAGUCAGGUGGAAGAAGACCUGGGGGGUCACAGCACACGGCUCAACAAAGACCAGUAUCUAGAAGGUGAACUCAGGCAAAGUGACAUUAAAAAUAUGGUGCCAAGGAA